ensembl:lncRNA
UCUAAUCACCAUGGAUAGUGCCUCAGUAGUGACUCAUAAAUAUAAUCGAUCCGAACUUUCCCGUAAGCCUCUACACUAUGCAGACACACUGAAGGCUGACAUGUCAACAGAGCGCUGGGGAUCGUUUUGUCCCAGUUGGUGGAAGGAGAGAAGCGACGUUCUAUGGGUAAUGUACAAGGCUAUGUACGCAACCGCCCUAAAUGGGCCAUGCAAGCCACAUAUGGGACAUGUACAAGUCUUUUCUGUCUUUUAAUGAUUUUGAAAGGGUUAUACAUGUUUUUAUCUGCGAUGGACUGGCACCUGCCUUGUGCCCGAUGAUCCCUGGGAUAGGCUCCAGGUUCCCCGUGAC